GGGACUUUGGAAUAUGCAGGAAUAUCCCAGGGGGCCAGAGUGACACUUCGGUCCUGCAAAGAGUGGCGGGACUAGCUUCAGACUUACCCCAAUAACCAGGAAGAGCACGGGGAUACCGAAUCCCCAAACUCAGCGACCAAGAAACAAUUUGGCCGAGCCUAAAGUCCCAGCCUUGACCCUUCCAGGUUCACAGCAAGAGGACCAUCAGGGUAAGGUAGCAAUGGCAAAUGGAAAAGACACGGGCCCUGGGACAGAACCAAUACUGGAACCUGUAA